AUUGAACGCUGGCGGCAUGCCUUACACAUGCAAGUCGAACGGCAGCGGGCCUUCGGGUGCCGGCGAGUGGCGAACGGGUGAGUAAUGCAUCGGAACGUGCCAUUGAGUGGGGGAUAACGUAGCGAAAGUUACGCUAAUACCGCAUAUUCUGUGAGCAGGAAAGCAGGGGACCGCAAGGCCUUGCGCUCUUUGAGCGGCCGAUGUCAGAUUAGCUAGUUGGUGAGGUAAAGGCUUACCAAGGCGACGAUCUGUAGCGGGUCUGAGAGGAUGAUCCGCCACACUGGAACUGAGACACGGUCCAGACUCCUACGGGAGGCAGCAGUGGGGAAUUUUGGACAAUGGGCGCAAGCCUGAUCCAGCCAUGCCGCGUGAGUGAAGAAGGCCUGGUUGUAAGACUCUUCGGUCCGGGAACGGAAA
rnacentral:rRNA from 1 species